CCUACGGGUGGCAGCAGUGAGGAAUAUUGGUCAAUGGGCGGGAGCCUGAACCAGCCAAGCCGCGUGAGGGAAGAAGGUACAGCGUAUUGUAAACCUCUUUUGUCAGGGAACAAAGGCGGGGACUAGUCCCCGGAUGAGGGUAUCUGAAGAAAAAGCAUCGCCUAACUCCUUGCCAGCAGCCGCGGUAAUACGGAGGAUGCGAGCGUUAUCCGGAUGUAUUGGGUUUAAAGGGUGCGCAGGCGGCCUGUUAAGUCAGCGGUAAAAGCCCGGGGCUCAACCCCGGCGAGCCGUUGAAACUGGCGGGCUGGAGUUGGAGAGAAGUACGCGGAAUGCGCGGUGUAGCGGUGAAAUGAUUAGAUAUCGCGCAGAACCCCGAUUGCGAAGGCAGCGUACCGGCUCCACACUGACGCUGAGGCACGAAAGCGUGGGUAUCGAACAGGAUUAGAUACCCUUGUAGUC
rnacentral:rRNA from 1 species